GGCUUGUUGUAUUUAAAGCAUAAUAAGUUUGGCCUGCCCAAUGAUAAUUUGAAUGGCUGCAGUAUCCUGACUGUACAAAGGUAGCGUAAUAAUUUGUCUUAUAAUUGAAGAAUGGAAUGAAUGGUUUGACAAAGAUGUGGCUGUCUCUUACAUAUUUGUUUGAAGUUAAUUUUCAGGUUAAAAGGCUUGAAUAAAAUUGAAGGACGAGAAGACCCUAUUGAGCUUAAAUUGGCAGUAGUGUUAAUAAAAUAUGAGAUUGAGAUUUAUUAUAAAGUUGUGUAGUUUUAGUUGGGGCGACUAAGGAGUAGGUAAAGCUUCCUUCAGUGGUUUAGGAAAGUUGUUUGUUGAUCCAGUUAUUUUGAAUUAAGAUCAAGUUACCAUAGGGAUAACAGCGUUAUCUUUUUUGAGAGUUCUUAUCGAUAAAAAGGAUUGCGACCUCGAUGUUGGAUUAAGGUUUAAUAAAGGUUGUAGAAGCUUUUAUGAUUAGUCUGUUCGACUAUUAAAAUCUU
rnacentral:rRNA from 1 species